GGGUUUGGAUAAGAGUUGUAACAUCUGCCACCCAAUGGGUCACCAGGAUUGACACAGCUGCUCUGGGUGGCUAUCUGGUUGAUCCCUCUCUUCCCCAUCACUCUGUAUAUCACUCUCCUGAAAUUGCAUGCUAAGCAACAAAGCUAACCUCCUGCUGUGGAGAAGGGCCAUUCUUCUCUCAAUGGUACAUGAAAAACUGCACACACACACCCAUGCACCUCCACUCAUCAGCUAGCCAUCUCUCAAAGCCCAACAUGGCAUGGUUGCUUGGUG
rfam:Mesocricetus auratus contig057076, whole genome shotgun sequence.